UACGGGGGGGGCAAGCGUUGUUCGGAAUUACUGGGCGUAAAGGCUCGUAGGCGGCCAACUAAGUCGGAUGUGAAAUCCCCAGGCUUAACCUGGGAACUGCAUCCGAUACUGGAUGGCUUGAAUCCGGGAGAGGGAUGCGGAAUUCCAGGUGUAGCGGUGAAAUGCGUAGAUAUCUGGAGGAAUACCGGUGGCGAAGGCGGCAUCCUGGACCGAGAUUGACGCUGAUGAGCGAAAGCUAGGGGAGCAAACGGG
rnacentral:rRNA from 1 species